AAAAAGAUAAAAAAGAAGAAGAGAAAAGAAUACAUAAUUUACUUAUUUUUAAAGAAAACUGCCAAUUCAAAAGGAAAUUAUAAUUUCCUUCACAUAUUUUGUUUCAACUCAGUGUUAUAUACUGAUAUCCAUUCAAUUCAAAGGGAACCGCUCUUCCGUUGAUUUCAGACUGCACGCAAAACUCUCCGAUCAAAUUCCCGAAAGAUCAAUUUUGUUUCUACAAUUUCUUUUCCCACAGCCGGAAACACUAAAUCAGAGUUUUGUGGGUUUUUUUUUUUAAGUCUCAAGAUGGAUCUUUCGCAAGAGACCAAAAAUUACAUCGGGUGAUUGGCAUCGGAAGAAGACUAGAUUAGUCGGUGUUCUCCUCUAGAUUUCCCCGUCGCUUUUUAUUUGGUUAUUCAACUUCAUUUACAGUUGAAAAUUUCUGAUAAUUCUCUUUUUUCAGUUGAAAUAUGUUAACGUAUUUUGGUGAUUCCUAUAACUGCGAAGCUUUGAAUCGGCAAAAGGUCCUCUACUCCAUCUCCUAAUGGGCUGGUGGCAAUCCUCAAUAACCCGAUACAACUUGUGCGAAGGGAAAGUCCAUAUCAUGUUCAGUUUAUCCUUUUUCUUGGCCAAAAUUCAAACUUUUUUACUGAUAUGGUUGGUCACUACAUAAUUUUUUAAGCUGCUUCUAUUCUGAAUGAUAUAUUUUUUCUUUUUUAUUUCUUCAUCCUUUGUGAGAUAAAAUGAAGAUUUAGGUGUUUUUGAAGUUGUGUGCCAGCUUUCCUCUUGGUCUCUGCACUUCAUUUUUCUUUGUCUUGCCUUAACUAACUUCAUAUGUGAUAUGCGUUGUUUCCGGUCAGAGUAUAGUAUUCAAUUUUCCAUAUGUGUUUUUAUCAAUGAUUACUUUCCUUAGUACCGUGAAUUACAUUUUUGUUGGGAAAUGACUUUAAACAAAAAGGGAGGAGGAAAUAAAUCUAAGGUUAUAGCUUGAACAGAACAUUAAUCAAACAUGUUAUGUGCAAGGGGAAAAUAACAGACCAUAAUAUAAGAAAACAACAACAGACGAAAAUGCUAUUGCAUCAAUAAACAUGCUCUAAUAAAUGGGUAAGAGAAGACUUCGAUAGCGAUUAGACAAAACAAAUAGGAGAGGAGGAUUCCAGCCAAAGAUUCGUGAUACUCACCGGACUUUUCCAAUUUCUAUCAUUAAAAAAAACACCUAAAUUGAGGCUGAAUUAGGAAUAAUUUUCUCCGCCGAAAUUGACAAAUAUGAAGCAAGAAUCAGUGAGAUAAUAGAAACUAGAGAACUAUCCAGAAGCUGAGAGUAAUAGAGCAAUUAAGAAGGUUGAUGACACACAUAGAAGAUAAGACAUGAAAGGGAAAGUAUUAAGUAUAAGCGAUUACACCUUAUGUACUUUUUAGACUUGGAAGAUGCCUCCUCCUUUAAUCAUUUUCAUGUUCUAAUCCUGUCUCAAAAUAAAAGUUUGGGAUUUGAAUUUCUCAGAUUUUCAUCAAGUUCUAUAUGUUGCAUGUGUUAGCUAGGGCUCGAGAGUAAACAUUGGAAUGAGUAGAUUUUUGCUCUAAUUCUGUAUAGUAUUUCAUAUCGCUGAUUUUUGCUAAUCUUUGGCUAGAAAAUGAGACCGUUAGAUUGGCAGUAAACUCUUUCAACUCCAAUCCUGUUUUAGAAAAUGAUGCAGUUAGAUCCCCACCUGAAAAAUAGUUUUCAUCAGUUGGAGUGACCUUAUGGAGCAAUUCUAACAUUUGAGUAAACGUUGGAAUGAGUAGAUUUUUGCUCUAAUUAUGUAUAGUAUUUCAUACUGCUCGAGAAUGUUUGUUGUUUGUUCAAUCUGCUUUUUGGUUUUUGCUUGAUUUUAAAAGGCCUCUCUAAGUUUUUCUCUGUUGGCAGGAAAUCAACUAAAACGUCGUUUUAGUCAUUUGAUUUUUAUUUUGUUUUUAAAUUUUGUAACGUUUUAGUCAUUUGAUUUUUAUUUUGUUUUUAAAUUUUGUAUUCAUCUAAAUCAAUAUCCUAACAGGUUACGGUGCUCAAAUCUGAAACUGCUUACAAUUUAGAGUGGUAGCUUUUUGAUGGGUUUGACAAUGUUCAGGUGUUGCCAGUUAAAAUAAUUUUCCUUAUCAUGUUGCACUGAAAUCACAAAUAUCUCUGAGUUUAGCCUUUAAUAUCAUGAAGCUAUUGAUAUCUGACAUGCAUGCACAUCAUAGUGGCAUGUUGACAAGAUUUCCAAUUUUACUUUUCUAUUAAUAGCUGACAUGCAUGCAUAUCAUUAAUUUCCUUAACUUAUAUGUUUUCUUUUACAUAUUCAGAAAGCCACGAACACCCUUGAAAGGGCGGCACCUCUUACACAUGCAGUUGAAAAUUAAUGUGUUGAGAUAUGUACUUAUAAUGGAUUAUUAAUUAUUAUCUUCAACAAAUAUACAUUUUUGUUAAGUUAUAUCAGCAUAAUGUAAUAUUACAGACUUUCAAGUACCUUGAUGAGGAAAUUUAAACAAUAAAUAUGUUGCAAGCAAUAAAAUUUCAACACAAAUCAGUUUGGAGCUUUGCAUUGCAAAUUCUGGAGUUGCAGUCCUACUCUUUCAUUAAGACCAAGACGGAGGGAGAGAAAGUGCAACAGAAAGCCGCAUGAAAAUAGAAGAAGCUCUUAUGUGGAAGAAGGCUGUCAUAGACUAUGUCUUGAAUUCAAUUUCUCUCCAGUCCAAAUAAGAACAAAUAGUCAAGACAGUGCCUGCUUGCUAUGUGGUACUACUACUUAAAUAAGAGAAGUACCGUCCUUUGAAUGUGUAUUCUCACAAGCCUGUUUCAUUAUUGCUCUAGCCAGACGACAGAUUAAUAUAAAGAGGCAGGAUCUAUUAGGAAUGUGGACCAGAGUGGCAAGGAGGGAAACAUGAAGAUAAGCAAGGCAUUCAUCUGGGUCGUGGUUGCCACAAUUAUAUAUCAUAUUUGGAUAGCAAGGAAUGACUCCGGGUGCCUCAUCCACCUUCAAUUAGUAAGGAAGUGCUACAGGAGUGCAAAUACAGAUUUUUUGACAUGAUGAAGUGGCAACCAACAUACAAAGAUAGAAGAUGGAUAGAAUAGAUACUGUUGGGCUUAACUAUAUAGAAAGGACUAGGUUGUUAAUUGUAAUAGCAACAGAUAGCGAGUUUGUUAGUUGGUCGCUAUUUUUUUAAUUUUUUUAAUAGUUGUAAUUUCAAGUUGUAAAGGGGACCUUUUUAAUUGGUGUUUCAAUAAUACGUGGUUCGUUCACUAAA